rnacentral:lncRNA from 1 species
CAUUUUCAUCUGGCUGGUUGAAGAGUUUUUGUUAGUCCGUAAAUACGCUCUCAUAUAAUAUCCGUGAGAGAGAGGGGGCUUUCCUUCCAUGUGCGAACUUUGUGAUAACUCGACAGGAUGUCACAUCGAUAGCAAAUACAUACUCACUGUAUUCGUGUCUGCCUACAUAGUCUUUGUUUAUAAGUUAUAUAAAAUUACUAAAAUUAGAAAAAACAUCACUUUUUCAAACCGAAAGGAAAACGAGUUGGUGGUUUACACGAGUAUUGAAACGAAAGUGAAACAAGUAGAUUCGAGGUCUCAUCUUUUCGAGGUCUGCAGGAAGAGGAGGAGGAGGUCCGAAAACAAGUAAUACAAAGAAUGUCAUCCCUACUUAUUCCCGAAGAACAAGAAAUGUUUCAAUCCGAAUCUGACACAAGUAACCAUGUUAUCUAUAUAUGGAUGCCCGUUGGAGUCAGUCAGGUCGGACAUGCAUCGUUGUGCUGAGUAACGGUGUAUAUGUAAGCUGGUGGCCACAAGAUAAGAAAUCAAAAUGUGGGUUUAAGAAGAAAGAAAAUAAAUGCAAUAGUAGCCUGCAGGGAGACAUCAAAGAAGAGGGCAUGGAUCCUGACUACACGUUUAAGAUACCCUCCACAAAGUUAGACCUGACUGACUGAUAUGACAACCUUUUGGAAUAAACAAAAAAGCACGGGUCACUAUUCCUUACUGAAACAAAACUGUUGCUGGGUUGUGUACCGCGUCCUCCGUGCAGGCAGAUCCCCAAUGAGUCAAACAAUUCUUUGGAGACCAGAAACUUUACGGAGGUAUCUGGUCAUUUACCUGGGUGGUGGAUCAGGAUUUUUUACUUUUUUUAACAUGCCAGAUUGGGAUUUACGUUUCAAAGAAAAAAUCACACUGUAUACAUGGAAUGCCAGAGGUGGGAGGGAAAAACACCAGUCACUAUUGCUAGAUAACUCAGUAUAUGUAAGCUGUUGGCCCCGUCACUUAUUGUCAGAAGGACAUGCUUCGUGCAGCUUACAAGACGAUCGAAGAAAGAUGGGUAGAGUGGAAGAUGAGGCACAUAUCCUUCCUAAUAUGACGUUGGAGUACCACCUCAUGAGGAGACGCUGGAAGCAAAUGAUGACAGAGGAAACAUCGGAAAUGGGGGCAGCUAAGUCGGACUGGGUCAUACGACAAAUUCUGAUUGCAGGUGGCGCUCCUAUAUUACUGCGAAUAGGAAUAAUAUGAUGAUGCACACUUGACUUUCUGAAAAUAAUCAACAUAUGACACAUUCAUUGGAUGACUGGAUGCGGAACAAUACAUAGAUUUAUUACAGCUUCUGUUUUAAGUCUCCUGAAGUUUGUGACGUGUGCUGCAAAUAGACUUUUGUUGCAACUUUGUACUCGCAUCUAAAGCCAGUCAAUACUCGAUUUAGAAAUUAAUAACCUACGAGCAACGAGAGAUUAUAUGUGUCUUGUGAAUAAAUUUUGUAAAUUCUGA